rnacentral:rRNA from 1 species
UACGGAGGGAGCUAGCGUUGUUCGGAUAUACUGGGCGUAAAGCGCACGUAGGCGGCGUCGUAAGUCAGGGGUGAAAUCCCAGGGCUCAACCCUGGAACUGCCUUUGAUACUGAAUGUCUGGAGUUCGGGAGAGGUGAGUGGAAUUCCGAGUGUAGAGGUGAAAUUCGUAGAUAUUCGGAGGAACACCAGAAGCGAAGGCGGCUCACUGGCCCGAUACUGACGCUGAGGCGCGAAAGCGUGGGGAGCAAACAGG